UCUGGGUGUGGUGGCGCACACCUGUAAUCCAAGCUACUUGGGAGGCUGAGGCAGGAGAAUCGCUUGAACCCAGGAGGUACAGGUUGCAGUGAGCUGAGAUCGUGCCACUACACUCCAGCCUGGGUGACAGAGCAAGACUCUGUCUCAA
rfam:Gorilla gorilla gorilla genomic chromosome, chrX, whole genome shotgun sequence